GCCCAGACUCCUACGGGAGGCAGCAGUGGGGAAUAUUGCACAAUGGGGGAAACCCUGAUGCAGCGACGCCGCGUGAGCGAUGAAGUAUUUCGGUAUGUAAAGCUCUAUCAGCAGGGAAGAAGAUGACGGUACCUGACUAAGAAGCCCCGGCUAACUACGUGCCAGCAGCCGCGGUAAUACGUAGGGGGCAAGCGUUAUCCGGAUUUACUGGGUGUAAAGGGAGCGUAGACGGCGAUGCAAGCCAGAUGUGAAAGCCCGGGGCUCAACCCCGGGACUGCAUUUGGAACUGUGUGGCUGGAGUGUCGGAGAGGCAGGCGGAAUUCCUAGUGUAGCGGUGAAAUGCGUAGAUAUUAGGAGGAACACCAGUGGCGAAGGCGGCCUGCUGGACGAUGACUGACGUUGAGGCUCGAAAGCGUGGGGAGCAAACAGGAUUAGAUACCCCAGUAUGC
rnacentral:rRNA from 1 species